UAGAAAUACGACACUGGCACCGGUACGGAUCCGACCGCUCCCAUAGGUUUCAAAAGUUCUUCGUCUACUCUGCUCUUACUUAAAACAUCCUUAACAUGCAGGACGGUAACAUCUCUCUCUGUAUAUCUGAGCCUAUACGUAGAAACCCAACCAAUUGGGAGAAUGGAUAAUAUGGCUAAAUUAAGUGGA
rnacentral:ribozyme from 1 species